rnacentral:tRNA from 11 species
GGGUUUGUAGCUCAGCUGGUUAGAGCACCGUCUUGAUAAGGCGGGGGUCGUUGGUUCGAGUCCAACCAGACCCACCA